CGGAAGGUCACAGUGAAACGCAUUCUGGGGUAGCGCAAAGCUUCUCACGUAACAGCUAAUGUAAAGGCUAAGUGGCAUCUCUGAAGUGCAUGUAUCUACCUUGCGAUGGCCUGGCAUCCCAUCCAGCGUGUAUCCCAGCUUUGUGAGGUUAAAAAUUUACACGUGCGUGUCAGGCUGACGGCGGUCAUCUCCGCAGCGCCUGGACUUCCUUCGCCACAGAGUUCGGCGUGAGUAGCCAAGCAGAACUGCUGUGGGCGUGGCCGACACCCGACCGGAG